rnacentral:rRNA from 1 species
AUACGGAGGAUCCAAGCGUUAUCCGGAAUCAUUGGGUUUAAAGGGUCCGUAGGCGGGUUUGUAAGUCAGUGGUGAAAGUUUUCGGCUCAACCGGAAAAUUGCCAUUGAUACUGCAAGUCUUGUAUCAUUAUGAAGUGGUUAGAAUGUGUAGUGUAGCGGUGAAAUGCAUAGAUAUUACACAGAAUACCGAUUGCGAAGGCAGAUCACUAAUAAUGUAUUGACGCUAAGGGACGAAAGCGUGGGUAGCGAACAGGAUUAGAAACCCUGGUAGUCC